GCCUACGGGGGGCAGCAGUAGGGAAUUUUCGUCAAUGGGCGCAAGCCUGAACGAGCAAUGCCGCGUGAACGAGGAAGGUCUUCGGAUCGUAAAGUUCUGUUGAAGGGGAAAAAGAGCGGAGAGAGGAAAUGGUCUCCGAUUGAUAUUACCCUUCGAGGAAGUCACGGCUAACUACGUGCCAGCAGCCGCGGUAAUACGUAGGUGGCGAGCGUUAUCCGGAAUGAUUGGGCGUAAAGGGUGCGUAGGCGGCCUGCUAAGUCUGGAGUGAAAGGUAUCGGCUCAACCGGUACAGGCUCUGGAAACUG
rnacentral:rRNA from 1 species